UUGAAUAAACUUGGUUGGGUUGUUGCUGGCUUUCAGGAGCAUGUGCACGCUCAUUCCAUCUUUUUUAACCACCUGUGCACCCACUGUAGGCUUGAAAUGAACCUUUCGAGGAAACUCGGUUUGAGAACUGUUAGAAGCUGUUCUUACAUUUCAGGUCUAUGUUUUUAAACAUAUACUCCAUAAACAAGUCAAGGAAUGUUAAUUAUUGGCCUCAUGUGCCUUUAAACCUAAUACAACUUUCAACAACGGAUCUCUUGGCUCUCGCAUCGAU
rnacentral:misc_RNA from 1 species